AGAAAGAAAAAAGUUUCCCUUUUCUGAGAGUCUACAGUCAAUCAUACAUUAAAUCUCAGUGAGCGCUGCUGUAGAAUUAAAAAAAAGAAAAAGAAAAGUGGUGUGGCUUUCAAAUUCUGAACUUUUUUUUGUUGUUGAAAGUGGUCAUGCAGCAUUCAGAGUUAACUUUCAUUAGAUCUCAGAUGGAUGUUUAAUUAUCAAGGACCUGUUUGUGCAGAUCUUUAAUUGCAGUGGGGCUGUUUAUGGAAUAAGUAGCAAAUGUAUAUAACCUAUAGACAGACAAUCUACCAAGUGAGCAGUAAAUUUCAAGCUCAGCCAGUUUUGCACAGCAUGGCAACUACAGUAUCAGCAUUAUUCCUGUGAAGUCUGAUUGAAUUCUUCCCUCACUUAAUUGUGUCUUUUCCAGUCUGGAGGAGAGAUCAGGUGUCUGUGCGUCUCUCGCUGCCCGCCACAGUGAGAAUGUUAAUCCAGUUUGGAAUGUGCUUCAGACGCUCCUCGGCAGCCCUCACCCAUGCAGCGCUCGUGACUCAGUUGUCUAUUACUCCUAGUUUCAUAACAUUGUUUAUUUCAUAACAUGGUAAGGACAGGAGAGAGACCACAACACAAUGAACCAGUACACUGAACAUUUGCUUGGCUGUUGUGCAAAAGGUGAAGAAAUCUUUUACCCAUCCAAGGUUACUGAGCACACACAGUUCACACACUAGUUCAUGUAGCGCAGAACUCUGACUCCUCUCAUCUACCUGUUGCUGGCGGAUCCGACCUCCCACUUUUUCUCUGUAAAUCUGCCUUCCUUCUUUUCCAACACAUUGUCCAUAUUGGCGUCCGUGACCCUGCCUUGAAAGGAUUAAUUGCAGUUUUAUGCUUUUUAUUUUUUUGUUCUGUUCGUUUUUCUGGGGGGUUAUUUUUAGGCCUUAAGUGUCUGGUUGCUAGGAGACAGUGUGAGCGGGCGAGCGAGAGAGAAAGGCAGGAGAAUGGGGGAGAGUUUGCGUUGUGAAGGCUGAAUUACAAACACGUUUGCGCUCUGAGUCAGCACUGACGCACACUACACACAUAAAUAAAGACUCACACAGGCUGUUUUAGUCCAGAGCCCUCAUUGUCGGCUUGUUUUUCUGGUUCUCUCUAUCUAUUCACCAGUACAAGCUCCACAUGUGCCUCAGACGCUUUUCCCUUUUUUCAAACUUAGACAUGCUGUCCUCUGACUGACACACGCACCGGCCACACUUCUGCCUAUGUGAGUUCAUAGACAGUAUGAGAAACCAGCAUGGGACCUGCGGCUGACGAGGAAUGAGUAAUGACAAAAGGGCUCGGCUUCAUAAACCUGCUGGUCUUUCUUUGCACUUCCUAAAUUCCAAACAUCCUACUUUGUUGUUCAUUAUCAGUCUGUAGGUGUGACAGGAGAGUUCCUCUGUCAGUAUUACUAGUGUGUGAACUGUGCACACAUGAGUAGAUUAUGUUGAACAUUUUAUCUCACUUCUGGUCUUGUGUUUCCUGUUCUCGUAAAUUCUUUUUGAUUUCUCUUAGAUUUGUGUGUGUGUGUGUGAAGAGAUUACUAGUCUCUAUCAGAGGUGAUAUGCAUGGACGAGCUCACAGGAAACAGAUCUGUUGUUGUGGUGCAGAACAGUUGCUGGCUUCCUGUCCCGCUGUAGUGGCACAUUCCAGGAAACCACCUCCCAAAGUUUAUAGGCUGACAGAAUAGUCCAAUGGGAUGGAAGUGUCCCGGGACCAAGCGUAACUUUGGGGAACUGCACUCUGGCUCCUCAUCCAGACGGCUUGUUUAUGAGCGUGAUAAAGUCCAGUCUCCUGGCCCACCUGAGAGAGGACAUCAGGUGCAGUACAUGAGGGCGCUAAUGUGGACAAUGUGGUGACUUUUGCCCCUUUCACUUCCCCUGUGAAAAACCU